CACGUAGGGCGCAAGCGUUGUCCGGAAUUAUUGGGCGUAAAGAGCUCGUAGGCGGACUGUCACGUCCGCUGUGAAAAGCUAGGGCUUAACCCUGGCCUUGCAGUGGAUACGGGCAGACUAGAGGUAGGUAGGGGAGAAUGGAAUUCCCGGUGUAGCGGUGAAAUGCGUAGAUAUCUGGAGGAACACCGGUGGCGAAGGCGGCAUCCUGGGCCGUCACUGACGCUGAGGAGCGAAAGCCAGGGGAGCAAACGGG
rnacentral:rRNA from 1 species